rnacentral:rRNA from 1 species
AUACGGAGGAUCCGAGCGUUAUCCGGAUUUAUUGGGUUUAGAGGGUGCGCAGGCGGCCAUUUAAGUCAGCGGUUAAAUCUUGGGGCUCAACCCCAUUCUGCCGUUGAUACUGGGUGGCUUGAUUGCGGUCGAGGUUGGCGGAAUUCGUUGUGUAGCGGUGAAAUGCAUAGAUAUGACGAAGAACACCGAUUGCGUAGGCAGCUGACCAGACCGCAAAUGACGCUCAUGCACGAAAGUGCGGGGAUCGAACAGGAUUAGAUACCCUGGUAGUCCGCACAGUAAACGAUGAAUACUUGUUUUCGGCGAUAUAAUGUCGGAGGCAAAGCGAAAGCGAUAAGUAUUCCACCUGGGGAGUACGCCGGCAACGGUGAAACUCAAAUGAAUUGGCGGGG